AGGGGAUCUUCGGACCUUUCGCUAUGAGAUGAGCCUGCGUUAGAUUAGCUAGUUGGUAGGGUAAAGGCCUACCAAGGCGACGAUCUAUAGCUGGUCUGAGAGGACGAUCAGCCACACUGGGACUGAGACACGGCCCAGACUCCUACGGGAGGCAGCAGUGGGGAAUAUCGGACAAUGGGCGAAAGCCUGAUCCAGCAAUACCGCGUGUGUGAAGAAGGCCUUAGGGUUGUAAAGCACUUUCAAUUGGGAGGAAAACCUGCCGGCCAAUACCCGGUAGCUUGACAUUACCUUUAGAAGAAGCACCGGCUAACUCCGUGCCAGCAGCCGCGGUAAUACGGAGGGUGCGAGCGUUAAUCGGAAUUACUGGGCGUAAAGCGUGCGUAGGCGGUUCGUUAAGUCAGAUGUGAAAGCCCUGGGCUCAACCUGGGAACUGCAUUUGAAACUGGCGGACUAGAGUUUAGUAGAGGGGAGUGGAAUUUCAGGUGUAGCGGUGAAAUGCGUAGAUAUCUGAAGGAACACCAGUGGCGAAGGCGACUCCCUGGACUAGAACUGACGCUGAGGUACGAAAGCGUGGGUAGCAAACAGGAUUAGAUACCCUGGUAGUCCACGCCGUAAACGAUGUCGACUAGC
rnacentral:rRNA from 1 species